rnacentral:rRNA from 1 species
UACGAAGGGGGCUAGCGUUGCUCGGAAUUACUGGGCGUAAAGCGCACGUAGGCGGAUUGCUAAGUCAGGGGUGAAAUCCUGGAGCUCAACUCCAGAACUGCCUUUGAUACUGGCGAUCUCGAGUCCGGGAGAGGUGAGUGGAACUGCGAGUGUAGAGGUGAAAUUCGUAGAUAUUCGCAAGAACACCAGUGGCGGAAGGCGGCUCACUGGCCCGGUACUGACGCUGAGGUGCGAAAGCGUGGGGGCAAACAGG